ACUCCUACGGGAGGCAGCAGUGGGGAAUAUUGCACAAUGGGCGCAAGCCUGAUGCAGCCAUGCCGCGUGUAUGAAGAAGGCCUUCGGGUUGUAAAGUACUUUCAGCGGGGAGGAAGGCGAUAAGGUUAAUAACCUUGUCGAUUGACGU
rnacentral:rRNA from 1 species